AAAAGAUUUAUCGGCAUACGAUGGAUCCGCGUCCGAUUAGCCAGUUGGCGGGGUAACGGCCCACCAAAGCGACGAUCGGUAGCCGGCCUGAGAGGGCGGACGGCCACAUUGGGACUGAGACACGGCCCAAACUCCUACGGGAGGCAGCAGUGGGGAAUAUUGCACAAUGGGGGAAACCCUGAUGCAGCGACGCCGCGUGAGUGAAGAAGUAUCUCGGUAUGUAAAGCUCUAUCAGCAGGGAAGAAAAUGACGGUACCUGACUAAGAAGCCCCGGCUAACUACGUGCCAGCAGCCGCGGUAAUACGUAGGGGGCAAGCGUUAUCCGGAUUUACUGGGUGUAAAGGGAGCGUAGACGGCGCUGCAAGUCCGGAGUGAAAGCCCAUGGCUUAACCAUGGUACUGCUCUGGAAACUGUGGAGCUUGAGUGCGGGAGGGGCAGGCGGAAUUCCUAGUGUAGCGGUGAAAUGCGUAGAUAUUAGGAGGAACACCGGCGGCGAAGGCGGCCUGCUGGACCGUAACUGACGUUGAGGCUCGAAAGCGUGGGGAGCAAACAGGAUUAGAUACCCUGGUAGUCCACGCCGUAAACGAUGAUUACUAGGUGUCGCGGUACGAAGUA
rnacentral:rRNA from 1 species